rnacentral:piRNA from 1 species
GACAUGUAUAGAUGGCACUUUAGAAUA